rnacentral:rRNA from 1 species
GACGAACGCUGGCGGCGUGCUUAACACAUGCAAGUCGAACGAUGAAGCCUUUCGGGGUGGAUUAGUGGCGAACGGGUGAGUAACACGUGGGCAAUCUGCCCUGUACUUUGGGAUAAGCCUUGGAAACGGGGUCUAAUACCGGAUAUCACUUACCUCCGCAUGGGGGUUUGUUGAAAGUUCUGGCGGUACAGGAUGAGCCCGCGGCCUAUCAGCUUGUUGGUGGGGUAUGGCCUACCAAGGCGACGACGGGUAGCCGGCCUGAGAGGGUGACCGGCCACACU